GGUGAUGUAGCUCAGCAGGUAGAGCGUGGCCCUCAUAAGGCUGAGGUCGUGCGUUCGAGGCGCACCAUCACCACCA
rnacentral:tRNA from 1 species